AAACAUUUAGCUCAGCAGAAGAGCAUCUGUUUUAGGAACAGGCGGCGGUGGUGCGAAUCCACCAAUGUAACC
rnacentral:tRNA from 1 species